rnacentral:rRNA from 1 species
CCCAUGAACCUUUACUGUAGGCUGAUAUUGGGUUGAGGUAUGUUCUGUGCAGAAUAGCUGGGAGGCUUUGAACCGGGGACGCUAGUCUCUGGGGAGCCAUCGUUGAGAUACCAGCCUGGAUAUGCUUUAAUUCUAACUUUGACCCGUGAAUCCGGGCUUAGAACAGUGUCAGUUGGGCAGUUUGACUGGGGCGGUCUCCUCCUAAAGAGUAACGGAGGAGCGCAAUGGUACACUCAGCCUGGUCGGCAAUCAGGCAAAGAGCGUAAAGGUAGAAGUGUGCUUGACUGCGAGACAAAUAAGUCGAGCAGGUACGAAAGUAGGUCUUAGUGAUCCGGUGAUUCCGAAUGGAAGGGUCAUCGCUCAUCAGAUAAAAGGUACUCUGGGGAUAACAGGCUGAUACCGCCCAAGAGUUCAUAUCGACGGCGGUGUUUGGCACCUCGAUGUCGGCUCAUCGCAUCCUGGGGGUGAAGAAGCUCCCAAGGGUUUGGCUGUUCGCCAAUGAAAGCGGUACGUGAGCUGGGUUCAGACCGUCGUGAGACAGGUCGGUCCCUAUCUACCGUGGGCGUACGAAACUUGAGAAGGGUCAACCUUAGUACGAGAGGAUUUGGUUGGACAUAGCUCUGGUGUCCCAGUUGUCACGCUAGUGGCACGGCUGGAUAGCUAACUAUGGAAAGGAUAAACGCUGAAAGCAUCUAAGCGUGAAGCCCUCUUCAAGACUAGGUUUCGUAGCAGUAAUGCGAAAGUCCCCUGGUAGACCACCAGGUUGAUAGGCUGGAUGUGUAAGCACGGUAACGUGUUGAGCUAACCAGUACUAACGGACGAACGCUUGACCAU